GUGAGGAAUAUUGGUCAAUGGGCGGGAGCCUGAACCAGCCAAGUCGCGUGAGGGACGACGGUCCUAUGGAUUGUAAACCUCUUUUGUCGGGGAACAAAGGCGCCCACGGGUGGGCGGAUGAGUGUACCCGAAGAAAAAGCAUCGGCUAACUCCGUGCCAGCAGCCGCGGUAAUACGGAGGAUGCGAGCGUUAUCCGGAUUUAUUGGGUUUAAAGGGUGCGUAGGCGGACAGUCAAGUCAGCGGUAAAAAUGCGGUGCUCAACGCCGUACAGCCGUUGAAACUGGCAGUCUUGAGUGGGCGAGAAGUAUGCGGAAUGCGUGGUGUAGCGGUGAAAUGCAUAGAUAUCACGCAGAACUCCGAUUGCGAAGGCAGCAUACCGGCGCCCGACUGACGCUGAGGCACGAAAGCGUGGGUAUCGAACAGG
rnacentral:rRNA from 1 species